rnacentral:lncRNA from 1 species
AAAUGCAGUUUUUGGCUUAUAACUCAAAAACCAAAGCAUUUAGAGCAAAUCUGACAGGGGCAAUAUUGUUUAUCAGGUCAAGAUCUAUCUGCCCUGAAAUUUUCAGAUGAAUCAGACAACCCGUUGUUAGGUUGCUGCCCCUGAAUUGGUAAUUUUAAGGAAAUUUUGCUGUUUUUGGUUAUUAUCUUGAAUAUUAUUAUAG